rnacentral:misc_RNA from 1 species
GAUGAAGAACGCAGCGAAAUGCGAUAAGUAGUGUGAAUUGCAGAAUUCCGUGAAUCAUCGAAUCUUUGAACGCACAUUGCGCCUUCUGGUAUUCCGGAAGGCAUGCCUGUUCGAGAGUCAUUAACAACCGUUUCGAUCCCUUUCUUUCAGAAAUUACAAAGAGGAAAAGGGUUUGGUUAUGUUGGAGGAGGGAAAGGGAGCGUUUAGCCUGUAAAAAAAGAGGCUGUGUUCCGCCUCCCCCCCAAAAUUGUACAGGCGGUCGUGUGCGCCCACGCAUCGAGGUGUUGUAAAAGCUGCCACGGCACUUUUCACCUGUGCAGUGCGAGAUUGGCCAGCCGGUUUAAAAACCCCUCCAAACAAUCAAAGGUUGACCUCGGAUCAGGUAGGGAUACCCGCUGAACUUAAGCAUAUCAAUAAGCGGAGGA